AACGAACGCUGGCGGCAGGCUUAACACAUGCAAGUCGAGCGCCCCGCAAGGGGAGCGGCAGACGGGUGAGUAACGCGUGGGAAUCUACCCAUCUCUACGGAAUAACGCAUGGAAACGUGUGCUAAUACCGUAUACGUCCUUCGGGAGAAAGAUUUAUCGGAGAUGGAUGAGCCCGCGUUGGAUUAGCUAGUUGGUGGGGUAAAGGCCUACCAAGGCGACGAUCCAUAGCUGGUCUGAGAGGAUGAUCAGCCACACUGGGACUGAGACACGGCACAGACUCUUACGGGAGGCAGCAGUGGGGAAUAUUGGACAAUGGGCGCAAGCCUGAUCCAGCCAUGCCGCGUGAGUGAUGAAGGCCCUAGGGUUGUAAAGCUCUUUCACCGGUGAAGAUAAUGACGGUAACCGGAGAAGAAGCCCCGGCUAACUUCGUGCCAGCCGCCGCAGUAAGAC
rnacentral:rRNA from 1 species